rnacentral:tRNA from 1 species
AACAUAGCUCAGUUGGUAGAGCAACAGAUUCGUAACCUGUAGGUCGGGAGUUCGAUUCUCCCUGUU